UAUCUGCUGUCACGCAUAACAUUCAUUUUAUUUGACCGUAUUUCAAAGAUAAACAAAAUUCAGUUACAACUCCGAACCGCUAGAUGGCAGCAGUACACAAACACGAGGCCAAAUCUCACGAGAAAGAUUUCCGCUGUUUGAAAGGCAACAACAUCAGCGAGCAGCCACGAGGAAAGCAAUCUACCACACUCGUUUGGUCUUGUGUCAAAGCUGUGCGAAACUGGAGGGAGAAACUUGAGAGACCGUGCCGGAAGAAUGCUGGACAGAGUUCACUAAAAUUCAUUAAUUUCAAAGUUCAACAUGAAUGGUGGUGGUCCACUGCAGAAGCAAGCAUUUGAAAAAACAUCAGUUCUCAGUUAUUAAAGAUGCUGUGUUGAACAACUUCCCAUCAGCAACAGAACUGGAAGUGAAGGAUGCAAUGGGGGCAUUUCAAACAGGCACCAGGGAGCACGGUAGUGAUGGGUCGUUCGCGAACGCCGGCUCUAAGAGCUGAUUCUUUGUAGCGAACGAGCAGAGCCGAAUCUUCAGACGCAGGCAGGGGAGCCGGCUCUUCUAAGGGAGCUGAGCCAGAAGAGCCGAAUCUAUGAAAAGAGCCGGGCUGCCAUCACUAAAAUGUAGAGCCGGAGCUUGAGCCGAAAGAGCCGAAUCAAUGGAAAGAGCCGGACUGCCCAUCACUAGAGCACGGGGAGGGGGGGUAUAGAAAUUAGUACAAUUAAUAAGUUGAUGUGAACUGAAGAUAGUUUGUUAAUGUUUAGAUGUUAUUUCAUUUUUCAAAUUGUAUUUUGUUAUUUAUGCUUUUAUUUUGUUACUGUUUUUAUUCUUUUUGUUAAGUAGUUUUUCUUCAUUUUGUCUUAUCUGAAUUUCUAUUGUAUUAACAAUAUUUUUUGUAAUAAAUUGCAUGUUUAUGAGAACCUUUUUUAAUGGAUUAAAAAGAAUUCUUUAGCCA